rnacentral:rRNA from 1 species
GACGAACGCUGGCGGCGUGCUUAACACAUGCAAGUCGAACGGAAAGGCCCCCACUUUUUUGGUGGGGGUGCUCGAGUGGCGAACGGGUGAGUAACACGUGGGUGAUCUGCCCUGUACUUCGGGAUAAGCUUGGGAAACUGGGUCUAAUACCGGAUAGGACCAUGGUUUAGUGUCUCAUGGUGGAAAAAUUAUUGUUUUGGUGCAGGAUGAGCUCGCGGCCUAUCAGCUUGUUGGUGGGGUAAUGGCCUACCAAGGCGUCGACGGGUAGCCGGCCUGAGAGGGUGGACGGCCGCAUUGGGACUGAGAUACGGCCCAGACUCCUACGGGAGGCAGCAGUGGGGAAUAUUGCACAAUGGGCGCAAGCCUGAUGCAGCGACGCCGCGUGGGGGAUGACGGCCUUCGGGUUGUAAACUCCUUUCGUUAGGGACGAAGCCGCACCUUUUUUGGGUGUGGUGACGGUACCUUUGUUAAGAAGCACCGGCUAACUACGUG